rnacentral:rRNA from 1 species
AGCGAACGCUGGCGGCAGGCCUAACACAUGCAAGUCGAGCGCCCAGCAAUGGGAGCGGCAGACGGGAUAGUAACACGUGGGAACGUACCUUUCAGUUCGGAACAACCCAGGGAAACUUGGGCUAAUACCGAAUACGUCCGUAAGGAGAAAGAUUUAUCGCUGAAAGAUCGGCCCGCGUCUGAUUAGCUAGUUGGUGAGGUAAUGGCUCACCAAGGCGACGAUCAGUAGCNGGUCUGAGAGGAUGAUCAGCAUCACUGGGACUGAGACACGGCCCAGACUCCUACGGGAGGCAGCAGUGGGGAAUAUUGGACAAUGGGCGCAAGCCUGAUCCAGCCAUGCCGCGUGGAUGAUGAAGGCC